UACGUAGGGUGCAAGCGUUGUCCGGAAUUACUGGGCGUAAAGGGCUCGUAGGUGGCCAACUAAGUCAGACGUGAAAUCCCUCGGCUUAACCGGGGAACUGCGUCUGAUACUGGAUGGCUGGAGAUUGGGAGAGGGAUGCGGAAUUCCAGGUGUAGCGGUGAAAUGCGUAGAUAUCUGGAGGAACACCGGUGGCGAAGGCGGCAUCCUGGACCGAGAUUGACGCUGAGGCGCGAAAGCCAGGGGAGCAAACGGG
rnacentral:rRNA from 1 species